CUCUGCUUCCUGGUGAUGUCUCGAGAAGAUUCCGUAGAUGUUUGUUCACGUUUACUUCCAACGACAAGCUCAUCCAUCAUCGAAUCUCUUUCGCAAGCCAGAAGCUGCCCCUGGAGCCUCCCGAGUGUAGGGUGCUGUGCACGCGGCUGUGACUACCACCUGUUAGGGCCAGGCAGGUCCAACUCUGCAUUUUACCUCUAGUGGGGACCUGCGUCCUCCCCCCACUGGGAGCUCACUGAGGCUCAGGCUCCCCUCCAUGUUCCUUCUCUCUCCUCUGGUGGCCCUGGGCAGAGUUGGGCAGCACUGGAGAAAGGUUUUUCAUGCUGUCCAUGAUGGGUGUGGAGCAGGUGGACAGGGCUGGUCUUGUCCCUCCGACAGAGUGAGCCUGCACCUCCUCCGUCCUCCCCACAGACGUCCUGCUGCGAAGCCUGAGGACACCAGGAUGCAGGAAAAUCAGCGCAGACGAAGUGGUUGACAGAGAGCAGAGAAGCUUACUGAGUGACUUGAAGAUGUAAGAGAUACUUGCUUAGAACCAAACCACCACCAACUUUUAUAUUUUCCAAAGUAAUUUCACUACUGUACUUCUUUCUGGCACAUAGGGAGCAACAACAAGC
rnacentral:lncRNA from 1 species